rnacentral:tRNA from 1 species
GCCUGGGUGGCUCAUUUGGUUGAGCCUCUGACUUCAGCUCAGGUUGUGAUCUCGCAGUUCCUGAGUUCGAGCCCCGCCUCGGGCU